UCGUGUGCCAUGAUCAAUGGUUCUUGUGUCAUCCCUGAGAUCCUGUCACAUUAAUGUCCUAUUCUUCAUUGUUGAUUGUUUAUUAAAAUGCCUGGCUUUCACAAUGGCAUUGUUUUAAUUGGCUAGAGGAAACGGCAUCACGCAUAGAGGAAAUCUUAUUACUGAUAAACUACUUUAAUGGAUGCUUUAGAAAGAGGCAGAAAGGCAUGUACGAUAAUCACGAUGUCACAAGAACGUAUUCCAGCCCCUACACCUUCACAUCAAAGAACGAUGUAACCAUCCCUGAUAAUCAGGAAACUGGAGACUCCCCCAAAGGGAUCCUUUACCAGAGGUCGAUAAGCUCCUUUGAAUUCAGCACGACUGACUUCCAAGUACCGAGCGUCUUGAGAAACUUCAGGUCACUUCUGGUAUGAGAGAAUUGGCCGUCUGCAAGGAUGUGGCCCAGGGGAUGCCCAGAUGUUUGAUGUUUUACCAUCCUGUGGGAGACUUCUCUCAUGUCCCCGCAUUCGAACCGGCAACCUUCAGGACAGAAACCCAACCUUCUGGUCAGCAGUCCUGUCUGCACAAGGGUUUAACCCCUUGCACCACCGGGGGCUCCUCUUUUCUUCUUGUAAUGGGGGUGGAAAAAUGAGAAAAUAAAACCACCAGGCAGAGGAUGUAAAACUCUUGGGAUUAGGUAAUUUAGAUCUGUAUGUCAUCAGUGUUUAUUGACUGUGGUAGUAAUCAUGAAUUUUUAUAUUAGGAAAUGUAUUUCUACUUUUUUGUCUUUGUAUUUUGUGUGAUGGUUUAUAUUCUUCCGUUAUAUUGCUGUGUGUAGAUUUUGUGGGGGUUUUUUGUGUGUGAAUAAAAUAUAUUUUUAAAGAGAACAGUAUUUUUCAGGCCAGUGGUUUCAAAAAAUUUCUUAGUGGGACUACUUUAGACACUUGAAUUUUUUUUAAUCAUGUCAGAAGCAACUUGAGAACAUACUGCAAGUCGUUUCUGGUGUGAGAGAAUUGGCUGUCUAAAGAGUCAUUGCUCAGGGGACGCCCGGAUGUUUUACCAUCCUGCUGGGUGGCUUCUCUCAUGCGCCCACAAGCUAAAGCUGAUAAAUGAGAGCUCACCUCAUCUCACAGAUUCAAACCGGCAACCUUCACAUCAGCAACUCAACCUUCAAGUCAGCAGUCCAGCUGGCACUGGUUCAACCCAUUGCACCACUGCGGCUGCUAAACACUUGCGCCAUGAAAUACUUUAUGUAGAUUAUAGUAAAAACAUAUGAGGUUGAAGAAGCUAAGCUUGGUGAAGGGAAGACUGGGGGUUGACCUUGUUGGAAUUCAACCACCCACUGCUCAAAUCUGCAGUCCUCAAUGAGAAGCAACUAGAUAGCAUUAGACUAGGUUGAGGGAAUCCCUCUCCACACACACACACACACACACACACACACACAC